ACUUCCCGGCACAAGAGUUUAUAUAAAUGGGUCAGCGUCAAGAUCUUUCACUGCUUCAGGAGGACCUGCAGGAGGAAAUAGAAGGAUUUGGUGUGGAUGACUACAGCUCAGAGUCUGACGUGAUUAUUAUACCUUCAGCCCUGGAUUUCGUCUCACAAGAUGAAAUGUUGACACCAUUGGGAAGAUUGGACAAGUAUGCUUCAAGUGAGAACGUAUUUAACAGACAAAUGGUGGCCCGAAGCUUGCUUGAUACUUUGAAAGAAGUCAGCGAUGAUGAGAGAGAUUGUAUUGCUGUUUUGGAAAGAGUCAGCAGAUUAGCUGAUGAUUCAGAACCAACUGUGCGAGCUGAACUGAUGGAACAGGUGCCUCAUAUUGCAUUAUUUUGUCAAGAAAAUCGACCUUCAAUUCCAUAUGCUUUUUCCAAAUACUUGCUGCCUAUUGUGGUUAGAUAUCUUGCAGAUCAGAAUAACCAGGUGAGAAAAACAAGUCAAGCAGCUUUGCUGACUUUGCUAGAGCAGGAACUUAUUGAUCGUUUUGAUGUGGAGGCCAAAGUAUGCCCAGUUCUUAUAGACCUAACUGCACCAGAUAGCAAUGAUGAUGUGAAGACUGAAGCUGUGGCAAUAAUGUGCAAGAUGGCACCCAUGGUUGGAAAAGACAUCACAGAGCGACUUAUCCUCCCUAGAUUUUGUGAGAUGUGCUGUGACUGCAGAAUGUUUCAUGUUCGGAAGGUCUGUGCUGCUAAUUUUGGAGACAUUUGCAGUGUUGUUGGGCAACAAGCCACUGAAGAAAUGUUGCUUCCAAGAUUUUUCCAGCUUUGUUCAGAUAACGUGUGGGGAGUAAGGAAGGCUUGUGCUGAGUGCUUCAUGGCUGUUUCAUGUGCAACAUCUCAAGAAAUCCGUCGGACAAAAUUGUCAACACUUUUUAUUAAUCUCAUCAGUGAUCCUUCACGAUGGGUUCGCCAAGCUGCCUUUCAGUCUCUGGGACCUUUCAUAUCAACUUUUGCUAAUCCAUCUAGUUCAGGCCAGUAUUUUAAAGAAGAAAAUAAGAACUCAGAAGAUAUUGUGUUAGAAGAAAAGAACAGUGAAACAAUCAGGGAUGGAGACAACUUCUCAGAGAAUGUACAGUUCAGGACAGAAGAUAUUCCUUUGGAUGUCUGUCUUUGUAAAUCCAAUUUAAGACUUGAAAAUAACCUGGAAGAUCAUACUCAAACUUGUAGGAAAUCCUUAAGUGAAUCUCAUAUUCAUCUGGAUAGGUCUUUACAUUCUACUUUAUCUUCAGUAUCUCUCCAUAGUAUUCUUCAGGAAGCUGUAGAUGAACUUGAGCAAGGUUCUCCCAAUUUAAAUACAACAUUGCUACCAGAAAUGGACAUAAGUUCUCCAGAACCAUCUCUCAUAGACCAAGAAUUAUUCAACUCCUUCCAUUUCUGGAGGACUCCUUUACCUGAAAUAGAUCUAGAUCUUGAACUUGAGCUUGAACAAAUUACUGAGAAAACAUUCAAUCCAGAAAGUCCAGAAGGAGGACCAGAAAUUACUAUACCAGAUUCUCCGAAUAUUACUAUGGCUACUCGAAAAGAACUUGAAGAAAUGAUAGAAAAUCUUGAGCCCCACAUUGAUGAUCCCGAUGUUAAAGCUAUAUUGAGGGAAAAGGAAGGAUCAAAGAAAGGACUGCUGCCUGGGAUGGAUGGGACACUGAUAAUUGACCCAAAAGAAGCACAAGUAGAAGUAUUAUCUGCUGCACUCCGAGCCACCAGUAUGGACACUCAGGAAGAGAAGAUGGUCAACUUAGAUAGGGAAGAUGAUUUACAAGAUGAAAUCCUCAUAAAAGAACUUCAGAAUUGUAAAAUAAAUCAAGAUGAUCCUGUGCCUUUAAUCAACGAUAAUGUUGAGAAUAUGGAUUCAACUCUUCAUUACAUCCAUAAUGAUUCAGAUUUGAGCACUGAUAAUAGUUUUAGCCCUGAAGAGGAAAGAAAAUCUAAAGUACAGGAUGUUGUGCCUCAGGCAUUGUUGGAUCAGUACUUAUCUAUGACUGAUCCCUCUCGUGCACAAACCGUUGACACUGAGAUUGCUAAACACUGUGCAUAUAGCCUUCCAGGUGUAGCACUUACUCUUGGCAGGCAGAACUGGCACUGUCUGAGAGAGACUUAUGAGACACUUGCAUCAGAUAUGCAGUGGAAAGUUCGGAGGACACUAGCAUUCUCUAUCCAUGAGCUUGCAAUAAUUCUUGGAGAUCAAUUGACAGCAGCAGAUCUGGUUCCAAUUUUCAAUGGGUUUUUAAAGGAUCUUGAUGAAGUCAGGAUAGGAGUCCUUAAACAUUUACAUGAUUUUCUGAAGCUUCUUCAUAUUGACAAAAGAAGAGAAUAUCUUUACCAGCUUCAGGAGUUUUUAGUAACAGAUAAUAGCAGAAAUUGGCGCUUUCGAGCUGAACUGGCUGAGCAGCUGAUUUUACUUCUAGAUUUAUACAGUCCCAGAGAUGUAUAUGAUUACUUACGGCCAAUUGCUCUGAAUCUAUGUGCAGACAAAGUUUCUUCUGUUCGUUGGAUUUCCUACAAGUUGGUUAGUGAAAUGGUAAAGAAAUUGCAUAUGGCUACACCCUCAACAUUUGGAGUAGAUUUAAUUAAUGAACUUGUGGAAAAUUUUGGUAGAUGCCCGAAAUGGUCUGGUCGACAGACGUUUGUCUUUGUCUGCCAGACUAUCAUUGAGGAUGAUUGCCUUCCUUUGGACCAGUUUGCUGUGCAUCUGAUGCCACAUUUGUUAAAUUUAGCAAAUGAUAGUGUUCCAAAUGUUCGAGUACUACUUGCAAAAACAUUAAGACAAACUCUCUUAGAAAAAGAUUAUUUCUUAAGUUCUGCUAACUCACAUCAAGAAGCUGUGGAACAAACAAUUAUGGCUCUUCAGAUGGAUAGUGACAGUGAUGUCAAAUAUUUUGCAAGCAUUCACCCUUCCAGUAACAAAAUUGCUGAAGAUGCUAUGAGUACAGCUUCUUCAACUUAUUAAAGAGCCCAAGUCUCAUUGUCUCUUCUGCUUAAAAUCCACAAGUGCUCCUCACAUGGAUGAUCUGGGACAGCCUUUUCUGAAGGAGGAAAGAUCUCCCCUCUUGCCAGACCUAACUACAGGUGCCAGUUACCUCCACCUGAUGCCAGGGAUCUUAAGAGUCAAGAGAAAGUAUGGUAAACUAUAGCUCAUCUUGACUUUAGGAAAUACUAAUUUCUCAGAGGAUUAUACUUGUCACCGAAGCCUUAAAUCCUUCUGUCUUCCUGAAUGAAUGAAACUUGAAUUGGCAGAGCAUUUUGGAAGGGAUGACAGUCCCAAAACCUGCAUUGUUUUCUCCACAGGAGUUAACUUAGCAAGUUUUACUUUAGCAACCAGUAGAUGAAAUUCUUAUAGCCAGAAAGGCAGAUGUGUUGUAACAGGAUGUAAAAGAGACCUCUCCAGUAUUAGCUCUAAACAUUUUUAUCCAGGCAAGGACCUGAUUGGGGUGCGAUGGUUUGCUGCCCGACCCCAUCUUCAGCAUGUUAUGGGGGAACAGGAGCUGAGCUGAACAUGGGGAACAGGAGCUGAACUCCUGAAGACAGCAAAGGGUUUGGAAUCGAAUGUAGCCUCUGAUCAGUCAGGAUCAGUUUAGGCAAGAAAAUUUUGGCUUCCAGCAGCAGCAGCAGCAACAACAGCAGCAGCAAGAGGCUGGGUGGUGAAAAGAGAUAAGCUUCCUGAACUGCUUGAUUUCUGGACAAAGUGAGGGGACCUUCUUACACACUAUAAAUACUCACUUUAACUUUGAAUCUGAGAGUCACUACAGAAUAUGGAUCCCGAAGGCUUCCAGGGAUUUUGCUGUAUUAUCAAAGUAUCUUUGAGUACAUAGGUACUUCAGGGACACAGUCUCUUUGCUGCUGAGGUCCACCCCCACGCUUUUCUGGCUCUUCAUCUUCCUGCACCUGCUGCUCGGAUUUUGCCCGCUGCAUCUGGAGCAGUCGAAGCUGCACUCGAAGUUCAAUGAUGGCCUCUCGUUCUUCGUGAAUUGCUUGGUUCAAAUGAUUGUUCUUUAUCUUUACCAAUAGUAGAAAGAACAGUGUCAAUUAAGCAGUGAAAGAAAAAAAAAAAAGCUACCCAAUGGCAAAGAAAUUCAACACAGUGGUCUUUUUGUUACUUGACUAGGAAAGAAAAAAAAUUAUAUCUACUUCCCUUUGGUGGCUACACUUAGAAAUCAUUAAAUCAUUAGGAAUCCAGUGUUCCACUUCAGGUAGAAAGGACGAAAGGAAUGUCAUGUUAUUUGAAGUGAAUUUGGAUUCAAAACCAUCUUUUAUUGUGUGAAAAUACUGAGUAUAGGAGCAUCCCACUUCCCAAUCCUAUCCAUCAACCAUGAUGAUUUUUUGUUCCUAAGAAAAUAUAGCUUGUCAGAGCUUAUGGACCUCCUCAUGAAAAAAAAAAAAAAACAAAAACAAAAAAACUGAAAAGCCACUAGCUCCUCAGCCCUAUUCAAAAUCUAGUUAAGCAGCAGUAUUCUCAGCUGGGUAGAGAAUUCCCUCUGACUGUUUGCUCACAGACAGACCUUCCUGAGACUCUUUUUAAAAACCUGCUUUUUAACUCUCAGCUUGUUUUCUUUUUUGUGAGCCACCAAAGAAAUCUUACAUGUAAAAUGCUUCUGGACACGCUAAGACACUUCAUAUUGUUGCUGUUACUAAAUAUCUUCCUAGGGAGAUGGAAUACACUAUAAUGUUAUAUAAUGUGGUUUAAAAAUCCUUUCCUGAAAUUGAAAGAUGUUCUUUGAAGUAAUAAAAAAACUAUCCAAUAUCUUAGGAAAUUAAUCUAUCCUAUGGGGAAAUUAUCUCACCCCAUAAUAGUCAUUUAAGUCAUAGUGCCACAUUGUUUUCAAGGGAAAACAAUCCUGUCAUAAAACGUUAGGAGGAUCAAGGCUAUUGAAUGUGCUGCUACUUAGAAAGAAUGGAAACAAUGAUUAAAAAAUCAUAACAGCUUGAAUAAGAAAUUAAGUGUUUACACAAACAAAAAAGUAACUAAAUAUAGAAAAAUUAAUAUGAAACUAAGAAGGCUCUUUAUACGUUUAUGUUCAUCACCUGAUCAUCACCAGUCACCAUAAUAUUUUCUCUGGUCAACUAGGGCAGCAGAGGCUGGCAAUAAUCUGAAGAAAGAGGAUCUUGGUUCUAAUCCCAGUUCUGCCACUUGUGUCACCCAGAGCCACUUUUCAGAGCCUAUGUCCCCUUACUUGUUAAAAUAAGGGAUAAUCAAUACCCUAAUAAUCUACAGCAAAAUCCCUCUUAUUUCAGCCUUGAGGCUGAAAAUAGAAUAUUUUUUAGACAGUCUCUCCCAAAAAAAGUAAAAGAGCAGAUGUGUACAACAUAUAUGACCAUCACUGGCUAGUGAAGAUUGGUAGAAGAAAUUUUGGAGGCUAAGGAUUUGGAAGGAGCCUCUAAGGCUCUGAAGCCAAUCCAACCUGAUUAAGAAUUCCUUCUACACAUUCCAAAUUCAACAAGAAUCUAUGAUGAUUCCUUUCAGGCAUUCAAAUAGGCUUGGUGUACACAAAAAACAAAAAUUUCUAUUUUCACACUUUACUAGAACAAAGAGAUAAAAUAUUUUGGGAAAGGAGGUAGUGGUGGUGGAUUCACUAAGUUCUUGGUUGGCUAACUAGAUGGCGGCACUUAAGAUGAGCUUUGAAUAAAAUUAAGGAUUCCUGAAAGAUUAUUAAAAAAAAAAAAUCAGAUACGGAAAAAAAAAACUAAAAAGCUGUCAGAAGAUGGAAAGCUUUAUGUAUAACCGCAUAGGUAGAAUUUAAAUUGUAUGAAGGGGGAAUAAAAUACACUUCAUAUAUACCACUUAAGAUAGGCUAGAGCAAAACAGGAGCAAUAUUACAACAUUUCUUGAAGUGACAUGGACAGACCCAACCAAGCUUUAGUUAGGAAUAUCAAUUAGGUAGCUAUAGAAAGUGGAGUUUAAAGCUGGCAAGAGGGGCUGUCCUGAGUGGAUGUGAAAAAAUGUAUGGUGAUCAAUAAGACAGGCAACUGAUGGAAUGUUAAA